UUACAAAAUAAUGUUGACGGUCACGUGUCAUGUUGUGACAUCCAACCAAUCAGAACAUAACACGUGACAAUCAUCAUCCAAUAAAAACGUAACACGUGACAGUCAACAUUC
rnacentral:pre_miRNA from 1 species